AGCGAACGCUGGCGGCAGGCCUAACACAUGCAAGUCGAACGAACCUUUCGGGGUUAGUGGCGGACGGGUGAGUGACACGUGGGAUCGUGCCUUUAGGUUCGGCAUAACUCAGUGAAACUUGUGCUAAUACCGAAGGUGCCCUUCGGGGGGAAGAUUUCUCGCCUUUAGAGCGGCCCGCGUCUGUUUAGCUAGUUGGUUGAGGUAAUGGCCCACCAAGGCGACGAUCAGUAGCUGGUCUGAGAGGAUGACCAGCCACAUUGGGACUGAGACACGGCCCAAACUCCUACGGGAGGCAGCAGUGGGGAAUCUUGCGCAAUGAGCGAAAGCCUGACGCAGCCAUGCCGCGUGAAUGAUGAAGGUCUUAGGAUUGUAAAAUUCUUUCGCCGGGGACGAUAAUGACGGUACCCGGAGAAGAAGCCCCGGCUAACUUCGUG
rnacentral:rRNA from 1 species